GCGAUCAUACCAACACCAGUGCACUGGAUCCCUUCAGAGCUCCGUUGUUAAACGUGCUUGGGCGAGAGUAGUCCUAGGAUUGGUGACCCCCUGGAAAGUCCUUGUGUUGCACACC